AUUGAACGCUGGCGGCAGGCCUAACACAUGCAAGUCGAACGAGUGGCGGACGGGUGAGUAAUGUCUGGGAAACUGCCCGAUGGAGGGGGAUAACUACUGGAAACGGUAGCUAAUACCGCAUACCAUCGGAUGUGCCCAGAUGGGAUUAGCUAGUAGGUGGGGUAACGGCUCACCUAGGCGACGAUCCCUAGCUGGUCUGAGAGGAUGACCAGCCACACUGGAACUGAGACACGGUCCAGACUUCCAAGGGAGGGAGCAGUGGGGAAAAUGGCACAAUGGGGGCAAGACUGAUGCAGCCAUGCCGCGUGGAAGAAGAAGGUCUUCGGGUUGUAAAGUACUUUCAGCGAGGAGGCGUUACUCGCAGAAGAAGCACCGGCUAACUCCGUGCCAGCAGCCGCGGUAAUAC
rnacentral:rRNA from 1 species